CUUGCUACACAUUUUCCCCAUAGGCUGCCGGAACUCAUGCUCUUAGGAUGCCAAAUUCUGUGUUGUUCUUGCUCAUAUUCACGGAGUACAAAUUUGGAUAGUCCCUGAAGCCAGGUUGCCAAAUGUGGCUUUUGGAAGUCUUUCCUGGAAGAAAAUGAAGACAGGGCGUCACAGUAACUGAACGCAGGCAAGUAAGAAGAAACAACAAAAGGGCAAUGGAAUGCAGCAGAGAAGUCAAGUAUUAAGUAUUAUGGCAAAUGAAGAGAUGGUGGGCGAGGAAGUGAUCUAUCAUUGGUCCAAUGUCAACCAAUUACCAACAAGAUCAAACCAAUAUUCCUGGAUGUCUGAACUGUUACAAAGGUCUCCCUCGAAUUUUCUAUGCGUGAGUUGAUCAUAUUAAGUUUCCAAGAGCAUGUUCUCCUCAUGAUAUUCCUUCUCAGCCAACAUUUCUGGAUGGUCCCCAUUACUUCUGGAAUAAAAACCCAAACUUCCUAGCCAUACAAAAUCAAGUCCCAACCUCCAUCCCCUAGCCUCUCGUUACUCUUCUCCAUAUGCCUCUCCUGGUGUCUUAGUUCAGGCGGCUAUAAUGAGUUUCCAUAACACUGGACAACAACAAACAUUUACUUCUCACAGUUCUGGAAACUGAGAAGUCCAAGAUCAAGGUGCGAACAGAUUCAGAGUCUGGUGAAAGCCUCCUCUCUGGUUUGCGAAUAGCCAUCUUCUCACUGUACCCUCUCGUGGCAGAGAGCAAGGAGAGUAAACUCUCUGGUGUCUCUUCCUUUCCCGGCACUAAUCCUGUUCACGAUGGCUCCACCUUCAUGACCCAAUUAUCUCCCAGAGAACUCGCUCUCCUGAAACCAACACAUUGAGGGUUAGGAUCUCAAGAUAUGAAUUUUGGGAGGACACAUUUAGUCCGUGGCACAUGAGAUUAGAUUAGACAUGUCAUCAUUCGCCAAAUAGGGCAGGUAUUUUUGUACGUCAAGUGUCUCCUCUGGGCAAAAAUACAAAGCUAAGUGAGACCCUGGCUCAGCCACAAGGGUCUUACCAUAUAUUGGGGAGGAUAAGACACAAACACAGAAAACUAAAACAUAAAGUUUUUGUGUUCUGAGUGUUGAAAAGAUCACAGUGACUCUUAUCUCAGGAAAUCAAGAAGAAUUUUCUGGAAGAAUUUGUGGAAUUUGAACAGGUGGAGAGAGAGCCAGGAUUCUAUCACACUUUCUGGCUAGGAAAAAACAAAGAUUUCCUCCAAUAAUUCUAAAGAAAAGAGAGAAAACAUGGGUUCUUUGAGUCAUGAGUGUUAAGAGGACCUCUCAGUGUUGAUAGACCUCAACCAUAUCUAUUUGUAAGUAUUCCAAAAAACGAAAUAUUAAACCAUGCUUGCAAU